rnacentral:rRNA from 1 species
AUUGAACGCUGGCGGCAGGCCUAACACAUGCAAGUCGAACGGUAACAGGAAACAGCUUGCUGUUUCGCUGACGAGUGGCGGACGGGUGAGUAAUGUCUGGGAAACUGCCUGAUGGAGGGGGAUAACUACUGGAAACGGUAGCUCAUACCGCAUAACGUCGCAAGACCAAAGAGGGGGACCUUCGGGCCUCUUGCCAUCGGAUGUGCCCAGAUGGGAUUAGCUUGUUGGUGGGGUAACGGCUCACCAAGGCGACGAUCCCUAGCUGGUCUGAGCGGAUGACCAGCCACACGGGAACUGAGACACGGUCCAGACUCCCACGGGGGGCAGCAGUGGGGAAUAUUGCACAAUGGGCGCAAGCCUGAUGCAGCCAUGCCGCGGGUAUGAAGAAGGCCUUCGGGUUGUAAAGUACUUUCAGCGGGGAGGAAGGGAGUAAAGUUAAUACCUUUGCUCAUUGACGUUACCCGCAGAAGAAGCACCGGCUAACUCCGUG